AAGUCGUAACAAGGUUUCCGUAGGUGAACCUGCGGAAGGAUCAUUAACACGUUAUCCACGUUAAAAUCAAACACCACGAACUGUGCUCCCUGGCCUCCAACUUCUUCGCUGUCUACAUGGGUUGUAAUGGGUUGCGUUCUUCCUCGCUUCGGUGGGGGUUCGUAGCAUACUCGUGUCUGACUGUCACUCCUCUUUCGAGAGAGAGUGUGGCGGAGAGACCGGACGCUGGGCUUAUUCAUAAUCAACCUGCUUUCCCAACCAUUUUGGGCGAGUGGCGCGAUGACCCCAAUCUAAUUUCACCCUAUUUUACCUAUUUGACUAAUUCUCUAGUUCCGUGGGAGAAAUCCCAGUCUGGACUGACCUAAGAUUUAUCUUAACUAAGCACAACUCUUAGCAAUGGAUAUCUUGGUUCUC
rnacentral:misc_RNA from 1 species